UUCUACCUUCUCCCAUCCACCCUCUACAGAAUGAUGGUUUUAGGAGGGUGACCAUAUGGUAGAUGAAGAGAGAGCGAGUCAUGACCUCAAAGAACCCAGCUGGAUUUCUGAGCUUCUAAAGAGGUGCCGCAUCAGAUUCUAGCUAUCAGCGCAGAGUCUCUGUGGGGCUAGUUGUCCAAAGUGAGCAACACCAGAACUGGGUUCUUACUCACAGGAGAUUCCCAAGUCAAUAAGAGCACAUAAAGGUACAGCAACAUGGACAAAGAUCUCAACCGUGGACAUCUGGGCCACCGACAGGGCUUGAACCCAGCAUCAGAGUGAGAACUUCCUCAUGGCUCAGAGAAGUCUGCCAUUGCUGUGUUGCACCCUGAUCAGAGGCCACACCAACUAGAUCCAGAUGAUCUUGGACCAAGAACCUCCAGACUCAUAAGCCAAAACAAGCCUCUUCCCUUCAUGGGUAGCUCAUCAAUUACAGUCAUAAAAAGUUGUGCACGGUCUACUUAGGGCAAUUCAAAUUGUCUUCACUAUGACUACUGAAAUGACAUAAAUAAGCACCACCACAUAUGGAAAUAAGAGCCAUCAAGAUGUUUCUAUAUUAAAUUGAGUCUUACUUGGAACUCAACGUAUAAAAUUGAAUAAUGUCUCUCAGGAGGAAUCCACAGGUGGAGAGUGGAACUGCUAAAAUCAGAAACUUGGAAAACCAGCAUAACAGUGUAAUAAACCCAGGUAUUCAUUGUUCAGACAUGAGUCUUUCCUGAAAACCAUUAAAAAGGGGCAGUGUUAUGGUGCACCUGUUUAAGCCACCACCUGUGAUGCCAGCAUCCCACAUGGGCACUGGUUUGAAGCCCGGCUACUCCACUUUCGAUCUAACUUCCUGUUAACAUGCUUGAGAAAGCAGUGGAAGAUGACUCAAUCCUUGGAUUCCUAUACCCAUGUGAGAGAUCUGGAUGGAGUUUCAUGAUCCUGGCUUCUGUUUUGCCCAACCCUAUCUGUUGUAGCCACUGGGGGUGUGAAAAAAUGGAAAGUCACUAUAAUUCUACCUUUCAAAUACUUCUUUAGAAAAAAAAAAAAACAGUAACUGCUUCUGCUUUCUGUAUUCUCCCCAUGGCUGAUGUGAGUGCAUAAUUCUCCCAUUGUUUCCCCAACUUGAUUCCUUCGGGGGCUCUAACUACCACAAAAUCUAUGCAUUUUUUUGUUAUCUCACAAAUAUAGCUUGAUGCGACAGACAUGUCAUGGUCUCAAUGGGUUGAAAAGAGGUGGAGGCUGGAGAUUUCUCCCCUCCCUUGCUACCAAACCAACACUGUGUUGAGACUGGGAAUGGCGAGUUAUUUGUGACUGCAACUGGAUAGCUUUCAAAACCCACAACUGCAGGGCACUAGUCAUUGAUGGUCACCCAGACACGAGGAUGCCUGAUCUCACCAAAACUCUGCCGUGUCUCCAGACGUUUGAUGGGGAGCAAGCGGUCAUGUGCACUGUGAAGUCCCAGUUCUUCCUUUCUGGUGAUAGGAAACAUCUUGUCCAAACCUCUCUCCAGAAGUAGACAGCAAAGCUAAGAUUUGCAGAGGCCAGAGAAGGAAGAGAUGUCACAAGCACUUAAGAUAACUGAGAAGAAUGGCAGGAUCUCAGACACUGAGAAAGGCUUGGAGCCACUUACAUUUUAAAAUGAGGAAAUGCCAACAAGAUUAUACAGUUUGUCCCAUUUAAAAGCUUGCUCUUAACAUUAAUAUUUUAACAUACAAUUCACGAAUGUAUUAUCUUAGAGUCUAAAUUUGAGGAGUUCUUUUAAGAUGAGAUCUAAGUAGGCAUAGAAAUUAGACUUAUUGAGAGGAAUGAUUACCAACUGGGUGUAAUCUAAUCAAUUUCCAUUCAAGUGCAAGCAUUGGUGAGCAUUGCUCAAGGCAGGCAUGGUCCUGGGUUAGGAGACACAGAGAUACCUAAGACAGAUAAGGGAGGUUCAUGCUGAGGGCAGGCAGACAAUAACAGGCAACACAUAGAAGACUUCAGGGUGGGUUCACCUAUAAAGAGAAUAAACAGGGUGAAGACAGACAAGGGAUGAGUGUGGGCAGUGGGUAUAUUAGGAAGUCAGGAGAGGCCUUCUUGAGGGGAAGUUACUGGGACAGAGCUCUGGAUGCCAAGAGGGAGCCAGCUAUGAGGAACUCUGUCAAGUGCAUUUCACAGCUUGUCCAGGGUCUACAACAAGCCCAGACUCUUCCAGCACCAGAAAGGAGGCCAGGACAGCUUCAAUAGGGUGAGAGGAAGAGGCUAUGUGUUAAAGGAAGUGGGAGAGUCCAUCACAUGCAGGACUGAAAUUUCAUUACACAUUUGCUUGUGGACAGUGUAAUUCUCCCUUAAAGUAUCAGCUGCAGGAAGAUGGAAAAUUGGACCCCUUAACUCCUGGAACCUCAAUUCAAGAUCGGGCAGGUGCUCUGUGAAUGUUUCUUGAAUGACUGAAGCUGGACAGGCAGGAAUCCAGGGUUCUGUUAGAUGUGUUAGAUACCUAUUAGCAAUUCAAUGGACAUAAUCAGUGCUGAAAUGUACUGAGCAUUUCCUAUGGGCCAAAUAUGCUAGAGAACUUAUAUACAUACAGAUGGUCCCUGGCUUAUGAUGGCUUGAGUUUUUCCAGCUUUGCAAUGAUGCAAAGCAAUAGGUAUUCAGUAGAAAUUAUACUUUGAAUUUUGAUAUUGAUCUUUUCCUGGACUAAUGAUAUGCAGUACAAUACUGUCUUGCAAUGCCUACUGUAGGGUAAUGUAAGUGUUUUGAGCAUGUUUAAGGCAGGCAUGAUUAAGCCAUGAUAUUUGGUAAGUUAGUUGUAUGAAAAGAAUUUUGAUUGGAGCCAGCACUGUUGGUCACUUGCUAAUCCUCCGCCUGUGGUGCCGUCAUCCCAUAUGGGCUCCGGGUUCUAGUCCUGGUUGCGCCUCUUCCAGUCCAGCUCUCUGCUGUGGUCCGGGAGGGCAGUGGAGGAUGGCCCAAGUGCUUGGGCCCCUGCACCCGCAUAGGAGACCAGGAGGAAGCACCUGGCUCCUGGCUUCGGAUCAGCCGUGGCGGCCAUUUGGGGGGUGAAGCAACAGAAGGAAGACCUUUCUCUGUGUGUCUCUAACUCUACCUGUCAAAUUAAAAAAAAUGCAUUUUGAUCUACAAUAUAUUCCACUUUAGGAAUUUAUUUGGAUGUAACCUCAUAAGUCAGCUCACUGACUGAAUUUUAACACACUAAAGAUAGGUAUUGUUAUUAGCCAAUUCAAAAAUGAGGCAAGAUGGGAGAGGGAGUAGGAGAUGGGAUGGUUGCGAGUGGGAGGGAUGUUAUGGGGUGAAAGUUGUACUUUGGAAAUUUAUAUUUAUUAAAUAAAAGUUGAAAAAAUAAACAAAAAAAUGAGGUGAGUCACACAGUAACUCUUCCUGCUGCACAUAGCAUUGGAGGGAAAAUGUUAGAGGUAUUCUUAUCCCCUCUAUUAGGCUGCCAUCCUUGGGUCACCAAGUCUAGAACACAAGGCUGAGGUUGGACAAAAUUAUGUAAUAGGGAGGACAUCAGCACUGAGAAGCAAGUCAACCUGAGAGACCUGCAGGGGUGGGGAACUUUGUUUGCCAAGGGCCCCUUGGAUAUUUAUGACAUUAUUCACAGGGUAUACAAAAUUAAACUUAAAAAUAUAGAUUCAUUGAAUUUCAAGUCCUGCCUGAGGUUGCCUACGCAGGGCCAGACCAAAUGAUUCCCCACCCUUGUAAAGUAAUAACCAACAAUGCAGGUACAGACAGAGGAGUAGCUCAGCUUUAUGGUCCUAUAACAUGCACAAAGGGAGCCACCAUUUCCACAAACUGCAUUAUAUAAGCAUCUUACACAUAUAUCUCAUUUAAUGUAGCAACAAUUUUAUGUGGCACUUUAUCCACAGUUUACACAAGAAAAAAAAAAAAAACAACUCAGGAUCAUAAAGCUUAAAUAACUCGACCAAAGCCAGAUGGCUAGCGAACAGCAGGAGCUAGAAUUCAAACUCUGGAGACUCACUCUUGGCAGACCUGAAAGAAACCAAAAUGGUUUAUUAUUCAGUGGAAAUGAGACAUGAGGAAGUUUUUUCCAAGAGCCCUGGCUUAGACUGAGAAUAGGAUUGCCCCGUGUUUUCCUGGGGUAACAAUAACAAGAUCCUUGGCUCAGCCCCCAGCUAGAGAAUUGAGAGACUUUCUCAAAUCCCUCAAGUCCUUUCCAACUUGGACAGAGAUUCAGGGGUUACUGCAGUAUCACAUAAGAUGCCCACACCCCAUCAGGGGGUUUCCCUUCCCCUUGAAACUCAUGCAGAUCUUUGGCAGCUGGUCCCUUCCUUGUAGCUACACUCAGGAGGCAGGCUACGGUUCGCCUCCCACUAUUGGCAACAUCUGUCCCGUCAUCAAGACCCCUGCUCCCUUCUGCAGCCGGCUCCCCAUGAGUGGUGGGGACCAUGGGAUGGGAAACAGUGUAUUUUAGUCCACUUUCAUCCUGUUCAUGGGUACAACAUGUUGCUCCCCUGGGCAAUGGAAUCCUUCAGAGAUUUUGCACAUACACACCUUUUCUCUACUCAUUUCGUAUUAAGUCUUUCUCACUCUAGAAACUUGGAGGGAUUCCACCAUCCUCAAGAUGAAAGUUGGUCUGAAUGGCAUCUAAUUUCUCAGUAUUGCCCCUCAAUGUCUUUCCUUCACUCCAGAUGUUUACAGAGCCCAGAAAACAUUCUAUACAGAUUAUGAUCCUCCAGAAUUAUAAGUGUCUUAUUGGCAUUAUAGACAGAACUUAAGUCUCCCACAAAGACCCCUAUUUACCAAAUUCUUACUUGAACUUGCUGUUUAUUCUUUGAAUAUGUAGGUGCCUAUUGGAUUUCCCUUUCUCUCUUCUUAUUUGCUACCCUUCAAUCAAGGCAGCAUUUUUGAACUUAAGAUCCACCUGAAAGUGUGUGGAAGGAAGUGAUCAACAAGGGUGUGUCGGAGGGUCCAAGUCACUUCUCAGGUCCUUGUGAAUAUCCGAGGACCCAGUGGUUCAAAAGGCAAUACAACUUUGUGAUUACCAAAGAAGUUAUAAAUAUACAAAUUAAAUGAUAUUAUAGAAGGAUUUUUCUAUGUUUACCAGAGGCGAAAUCAGAUUUUAAGGAGUAAAAACAAAUAUAAGCCCUCCCACUACGUUCACGGGAACAGGGACAGACUUGAUUGCUUCCAGAAAGUCCAAACUGAAAUCCCACAGUUUCUACAAGGCCACAAAAGGAAAAAAAUAAGGUAUUUUCAUGCUUGAAAGCAUUUAAACUCACUAAUCAAGGGCAUGAUAUUUGUUUGACAUUUGGGCACAUCCAGAGUGUAUUCUGGGAUAUAUCCCAUAAGCUAUUCCUUUCACAAAUAUACCCUCCCCAAAUAAUGUGCCCUUUUAUUCAAGUCUGAGUGUACAAGAAUUUCCACCGAGAAGGUAAUCCUGCUCCUUAAGGAGAUGUAUCCUCUCCACCUCUCAAAACAUCUUUCUCUUAUAUUCUCAUUAAGACUGUAGCCUCAAAGACAGCUGAAAGAAGGCAGACUAGUAAUUACACAUCUUCCUAGUAAGAGCUGGAUAGAAAGGGUAUAUUGAGUCCUGCUGUUCUGUCUAGGUGACACUACACAGCCCUACUAGCUAGUAUUGUCACAGAAUUAAUUGGUUUCCCCUGUUACAACAGCAGGUACUCCUUGAUGUUAUAGGGUUUCACCACACACAGCCUUGAGGGAGUCUUGGAUGGUCAGCUCUGAUCCACUCCAUUUCUUAGUGCUACUCAGUAACUUGUAAACUGAUUAGACCACCUCCUUCAGCCUACGACUUAGUGUGGGAUGCUGCUUUAGUACGGUAGCAGGUAAAACUAAGAAAAAUAGGCACCUCUUCCCUGUCUCAUCCAAUUCUCUAAAUCUUCCCCACAACCAAAACCCAAUUCCAAACUCCCUAUCCCCCAGAAAAAAUUCCCCACAAACAUGUCUUCACUGUUCCGUUUACCACAUUGUUUAAACUGUUCCUGCUGCCCGUACCCAAGUGCUGCCUAGUGUUGUCAUGUAACACCUUCAUGGACACCAUUUCUUCCCAGUCUGAGUACUGGAAUCAUGGUUUCUCUUCAACUGAGGGUACUGUCCUCCCUCUGUCCUGUCCAGUCUCAUGUUCAAAAUAAUGCUUUUACUGAAUAAUUGUAUUACAACUCUAGAUUUAUAACUUGCAGUUCCAUCUUCAUUGUGUUCAGUUACCAAAGUAUGUGCACCCUUCAAUGAAAUGUGCACUCACUGCACUUUCUAGAAUUCCUGGAGUCCUGAUUGAUGGGUUCUCCUCAUGAGGAUCCUGCCUCUAAAGUGGUUUUUCAAAAGUCAACUGAGGAAUUGAAGGUCCAGUGCACUACAUUUAUUUUAACUGUGCAUUGCAACACCAUCACAUAAUCCUGCUUUUCUUAAAAUACACACAUUCUACACGGAUUAUUUUGACCUUUAACUCACUUUGAUAAGAUGGCUGUUUUAGAGAACUCCUCACUGUAACCACACCAGCACCCAAUACUUUAGGUUCUAUAUGAAAUAAAACAAAUGCUAGCAGCUAUUCAUCUGGUUUGUAUUCUGAAUUCUUACUGUUUUAGUAAUUCUCACAAGUAUCUCAAUUUUUCACUGAAAAGUCUCCAUUAUGCCAAUUGGCAACAGGUUUCAGUUAUUUCAAAUUUCUUAUAUCUGUCUAAUGACUUUUUCAUUGGGCUCAUUCACUAGUUCUAUUUAUAAAUCCUCAAAUGUAUUUGUAAUCUUGCUUGCUCUGCAAUUAGUACAGUUGGGGGGGUUAAACAUUAAGUUCCGCUAACUCACCCUAAAAAACAAAAUUGGUUUCUUAAAAUCGGUAAUGGCAAUUCUUGACCCAAUCAUUCUAUUCUUUAGAAGCUGUAAAUGGAAUUUUAUGUAUGUGGAUGUCAUUUUUUUCUAGUUGAGGGCUCAUAUCUUAAUCAGAUCCCCUAGAAUUUUGUGACUUCAAAAGAAGAUAUUCUAGAAAUAGGUACUGAACUAGGAGCAUAGAGAGGAAAACAGAUUUUUGAAAGUUCUAUUGAUAUUUUUACUUCCUCUGUUGACUGACUUGGCUUGCCUCGAUGAUAGUAUAUAAAUAUAUAGUUGUUAAAUUAGCAUAAGUAUAUGGUUUUUACAGAGGGUUUAGGGAAAAAACUUAAUUCCACAUGACUUAGUUUGUUAACAUUCUAACUUGGGGUGAAAGGCAAUAGAACAAAAGCUAGGAUGUAAAUAUGCACAGAGGUCAUCAUAAAUUCGGGCCUUCCAAUUAACUCAUGUUGUGACUUUAGGGUGGUCAUAAGGAAAUGACUAUAUUCUUCAGUAUGUAGAAUUCUGGGACAUGACACAAUCACAUAUGAAGUUCAAAAACAAAGACAUUAACAGUCUUCCUUUUAGCGACCUUUCUCAUCUCAAUGUCAAAUCUCAUUAAGAGUUAACUCUAAAGGACAUCGCAUAUGGCAGAACAAAAAGUAUUCCAAGUCCUUGAGGAAGAAAGAGCACAUGAAAUGAUCCCUUUCUCAACUCUUUUCACCUAACUGGAACUCGGUUUCAUUUUAUCAUAAGAGAGGAAAUCAAGUUGCAUGUUCUCCAUGGUGUCUUUCAACUCUAAAAUUUUUGGUUUUCUGUGCUCUUAAUGGUUUCAUCAUUUUUAUGUGCAGAAUCUAUAAGCAAUUUCAUCUUAAGCCUUAAGAUAAAUUCUAAGCCUCAGUUCCCUGGCCUCAACACUGUGGGGCUUGUAUACUGUCCAUAGUUCUGAGGGGCAUCUCGCUCCAUUUGCUGAGAUCACCAAUGGGUUGAUUACAUGCACAAGAUGUGCAAACACAUAUGGGAGCCUCCUUUUGACAUGCUGGAAGUGCAGUCCCUCUGCUUCCUCACAGUCUAGGUGGCUGAAACUGGUGGGAGUAGAGCAUAGAAUUUAGUGCAGUGAUAGAAAAUGAAGUCAUGCACCCUGCCCACCUUGGGAAUAGCAAGAUUCUGGAGCAAUUGAGAAUUGUGGAACAGUCUGACAUGACAAGGCACGUACACGCAGCCUGGAGAUACAUGCUCACCAAUUAAGUUAGCAAUUACCACACUCGUUUUCUCCUGUCUGCACAUGAAGAGAUCACAGGAGACGUGUGCAGGGUUAGAGUGGAAAAGCUUGUUCAGAGACACAGCUUUUAAUAUGGGGGACACCAGAUGAGUAUGAGAAAUCUCUACCCUCUAGUGAUGCAAAAUAAAUGAACAUAUAAAGCAAAUGGCUCUCCUCCCCCGUCUCUAGCUUCCCACCCAGCCCAGCAUAUAGAAUGUCAAUGCCUGUAUUUAAGAGACAAACUAAGCCCUACUGUGGCUAUUAGAAAGAGCAACAGACAUUGGGGUUGCCACAAGAGAAAAAUAAGUGCCUCUGUUCCAUUUUUCUAAGUUUUACUUAUGAUGUUAUUGGGGGAAGACAAAUAUUUAUGGGAGAAGCAUUGGCUUUCUUCUGUAAUAGAAAACCAGAGAGUAGUGGAUGGGAGACUAAGGGAACUGGACUCCCCAGGAGAACUGAACUCAUUUGCAACAAUAUAAGGCAAGGUAUUGCUCUCCUUCUGCCUAAGCCAGUCUGCACCUACCCACAUCAUUUAACUUCCUUCUGGCUCUGCUCCCUCAAAUGUAAAAUGGGAGUAAUGAUGUUGACCAUUCGGCAACUCCUUUACAGGAAUGCUAUGAAAAAAUAUAAAUUAUUCAAUAACUACAAGAGUAUUUAAGAUUCACAAGUGAAUAUCCCCUGUGGGUUAUUAAUGAGAGUGACUGCACUAUCCUAUGGAGAAUACUGAUGAGGAGUCACAACCCCCUACUGUUUCUCCUGGAUUCUGACAUCUGAACCCACGGGCUGAAUGAAUAAUCACAUACAUAGUUCUCUACCCAGAAAAGGGUAAAAUUUUUCCAAACAGAUCCACCUUCCUUCUACACAUGCAUAGGCCAAGGAAGGGUUCCGAGUGGAUGCAGCAUUUUGGUAUGACUAUUUCAUAGCGGAUUCCACUGUCUUCAGAGUUGGUCUUUCUCUACCAAGGGUCUUCAAGUCAUUCAUGGAAAAUGUAUCGUGAAAACAUUGUGCAUGGAUUUCAAAAUGUUUGCUUUACAAUAAACCGACUUUUUAUAAUGUGUCUGAACAGAUGCAGUAUUUGAGGCACUAAGAAGGAUGACAUGUCAGUUUGAGAAGUGCCUCUUUCAGGCCAAUGUGAAUUCUGCCAAAACUGAAAAGCAUAGACCAAAUUUGCAGUUGAAUCUUGAAUGGAAGGAGAAUGGUAUGAUCAUUGAUCUUUUGCAAAGAAUUUGUGGGAUGCAAAUGACAGUUUCGAAAUGGAUAACUUGUGUUAAGAGAUAAAGCUGGCGCUGCCCCUCAGCAGGUGAAGCCAUCCUGGCAUCCCAUAUGAGCACAGGUUCAAAUCCUGGCUGCUCUGCUUCCAAUCCAGCUCCCUGAAAGUGUGCUUGGGAAAACAGUACAAGAUGCUCCAAGAUGGUCCAUUUUUUUUUUUUUACAGAAAAAUUAAAGCAAAAUUUCUGCCCCAUGGGUUUCAAACCUGUUGCACCCAGAUCAGCUGCAGACAGCAGAACUUUGAAGGUCUAAACAAGUGGGAUCAGAACCCUAAAACAUUACUUCAAAGAAUUGGAACAGGCCUUAUCAGAACUACCCUGGGGCCAGUGCUGUGGCAAAACAGGUUAAGCCAUUGCCUGCAAUGCUGCCGGUAUCUCAUGUGGGUGCCGGUUCACAUCCUGGUUGCACCACUUCUGACCCACCUUUGUGCUAAUGCCCCUGGUGCUUGAGCCCCUGAACCAACAUGGGAUAUCUGGAAGAAGCUCUCGGCUCCUGGCUUCGGCCUGGCCCAGCUCCGGUCAUUGCAGCAACGUGGGGAGUGGACCAGCAUAUGGAAGAUCUCUCACUCUGCCUUUCAAAUAAAAACUAAAAAGUCUCUAUCCUGAGGACAAAGCACAAACCAAGCAAUAGCUACUCAGUGGUAGAAGUAGUCCAUUCAAAACACAAACAGACCAAUCAAAAGCAAACGUCACAGCAUUUGGACUUUGGAAUGGUCAAGGCAGUAUUUGUUGCCGUCUGGAUCGCCAGUGCACGAUGACAUGUGUUUGCCAAAGCCUUAGCAGAAACACUUGGAAAGGCUUUCCCACCACAGUGCUCAUUCCACCCACUGAACAAGGAAGUCAUUCGGUACCCAAUGUAGCACUGAUUUGACUCAUUCGGACUCUGGUAGUCUUAAAAUCUUGAAAGUCCCCCCACCCCCACCCC